AUGGACGCAAGUCUGAUGGAGCAACGCCGCGUGAGUGAAGAAGGGUUUCGGCUCGUAAAGCUCUGUUGGUAGUGAAGAAAGAUAGAGGUAGUAACUGGCCUUUAUUUGACGGUAAUUACUUAGAAAGUCACGGCUAACUACGUGCCAGCAGCCGCGGUAAUACGUAGGUGGCAAGCGUUGUCCGGAUUUAUUGGGCGUAAAGCGAGUGCAGGCGGUUCAAUAAGUCUGAUGUGAAAGCCUUCGGCUCAACCGGAGAAUUGCAUCAGAAACUGUUGAACUUGAGUGCAGAAGAGGAGAGUGGAACUCCAUGUGUAGCGGUGGAAUGCGUAGAUAUAUGGAAGAACACCAGUGGCGAAGGCGGCUCUCUGGUCUGCAACUGACGCUGAGGCUCGAAAGCAUGGGUAGCGAACAGGAUUAGAUACCCUGGUAGUCCAUGCCGUAAACGAUGAGUGCUAAGUGUUGGGAGGUUUCCGCCUCUCAGUGCUGCAGCUAACGCAUUAAGCACUCCGCCUGGGGAGUACGACCGCAAGGUUGAAACUCAAAGGAAUUGACGGGGGCCCGCACAAGCGGUGGAGCAUGUGGUUUAAUUCGAAGCAACGCGAAGAACCUUACCAGGUCU
rnacentral:rRNA from 1 species